AGUCCCGGGGUGUCACACGUCAGAUUGCAAAUCUGAAGAAGCAGAUAAACAUCUGCCGGGACUU
rnacentral:tRNA from 1 species